rnacentral:rRNA from 1 species
GUAGGGGGUAAGCGUUGUCCGGAAUGACUGGGCGUAAAGGGUGUGUAGGCGGUUUAUCAAGUUGAAUGUGAAAGCCUGGAGCUUAACUCCAGAACUGCAUUCAAAACUGGUAGACUUGAGUGUGGGAGAGGUAAGUGGAAUUCCUAGUGUAGCAGUGGAAUGCGUAGAUAUUAGGAGGAACAUCAGUGGCGAAGGCGACUUACUGGAACAUAACUGACGCUGAGGCACGAAAGCGUGGGGAGC